UACGAAGGGGGCUAGCGUUGCUCGGAAUUACUGGGCGUAAAGGGCGCGUAGGCGGAUAUUUAAGUUAGAGGUGAAAGCCCAGGGCUCAACCCUGGAAUAGCCUUUAAUACUGGAUAUCUUGAGUUCGGGAGAGGUGAGUGGAACUCCGAGUGUAGAGGUGAAAUUCGUAGAUAUUCGGAAGAACACCAGUGGCGAAGGCGACUCACUGGCCCGGUACUGACGCUGAGGCGCGAAAGCUAGGGGAGCAAACGGG
rnacentral:rRNA from 1 species